rnacentral:rRNA from 1 species
UACGUAGGGUGCAAGCGUUAAUCGGAAUUACUGGGCGUAAAGCGUGCGCAGGCGGUUAUGCAAGACAGAUGUGAAAUCCCCGGGCUCAACCUGGGAACUGCAUUUGUGACUGCAUGGCUAGAGUACGGUAGAGGGGGAUGGAAUUCCGCGUGUAGCAGUGAAAUGCGUAGAUAUGUGGAGGAAUACCGAUGGCGAAGGCAGCCUCCUGGGCCAACACUGACGCUCAUGCACGAAAGCGUGGGGAGCAAACAGG